GACGAACGCUGGCGGCGUGCUUAACACAUGCAAGUCGAGCGGUAAGGCCCUUCGGGUACACGAGCGGCGAACGGGUGAGUAACACGUGGGUGACCUGCCUCUAGCUCUGGGAUAAGCCUGGGAAACUGGGUCUAAUACCGGAUAUGACUCCACGGCGCAUGUUGUGGGGUGGAAAGCCUUGUGUGGCUAGAGAUGGGCCCGCGGCCUAUCAGCUUGUUGGUGGGGUGAUGGCCUACCAAGGCGACGACGGGUGCCGGCCUGAGAGGCGACCGGCCACACUGGGACUGAGACACGGGCCCAGACUCCUACGGGAGGCAGCA
rnacentral:rRNA from 1 species